rnacentral:ncRNA from 1 species
CGAUAACUAUAGUUGACGAUUGUAGUUAUCUGAAUAAAUCUUGCUAUAUGCUGGAAACUCCGAGUAUCCAACAGUACCGAAAGGUGAAAAUCUGUUGGUGCGGCUGCCGUCGCUAAAGCUAUGGCGGCCAACGGACAAUCAGCAGGAAAGACUUGUGAACUUCAUGAAGGGAUUAGUAUGAAAAAAGAUAAAAAUAGUAAGCUUGUUCCAAUUCAGGUUCAUAUCGAGGACACCAGCUCAGUUCCCGGAAUGCGAAUUCCAAUGGUGGGUUGCGUGUUGUUGAGUGGACGUAUUCCUUUUGCCCAAUUAAGGCAAAUCGCAUUGGCCUCAAGGUUGAGGCCACCACUGAAGCAAUGAUCUUGCUUCAGUGCAACAAGGGCGAAAUCAACUUCGCCCCCUUCAUGAAGUUCGCAAGAAUCCUCAGAGACUAAUACGCAAGACGACUUCAAAUCAAUGCUGGAAUGAAGCCGACGAUUUGAAGGCGAUGAUAGAGUCCGAUCUUCAUGGCGACAUGAAG